rfam:Fusobacterium nucleatum subsp. animalis ATCC 51191 genomic scaffold SCAFFOLD327, whole genome shotgun sequence.
AAAUACCUUUCUCAAUGUAGGGGAUAACAUUGAAUUGAUACAAUUAUGUUUCUCAAUGUACAGCUAAACAUUGAUGAUACAAAUACCUUUCUCAAUGUAGGGGAUAACAUUGA